rnacentral:rRNA from 1 species
CAGCCGCCGCGGGAAUACGGAGGGGGCUAGCGUCGUUCGGAAUUACUGGGCGUAAAGCGCACGUAGGCGGCUUUGUAAGUUAGAGGUGAAAGCCCGGAGCUCAACUCCGGAAUUGCCUUUGAGACUGCAGAGCUAGCAGGUGAGAGAGGUGAGUGGAAUUCCGAGUGUAGAGGUGAAAUUCGUAGAUAUUCGGAAGAACACCAGUGGCGAAGGCGGCUCACUGGCUCAUACUGGACGCUGAGGUGCGAAAGCGUGGGGAGCAAACGGGAUUAGAUACCCGUGUAGUCCCUGUCUCUUAUAA